rnacentral:rRNA from 1 species
UCAGACGAUGCGUCAUGCAUAUCAAUAAGCGGAGGAAAAGAAACUAACAAGGAUUCCCCUAGUAACGGCGAGUGAAGCGGGAAGAGCUCAAAUUUGAAAUCUUAAAGGGUUUCCCUUUACGAAUUGUAGUUUAAAGAAGUGUUUUCUGUUGAGGUUUUGGUAAAAGUUCUUUGGAAUAGGACAUCAUAGAGGGUGAGAAUCCCGUAUUUGACCUUUACUUUCAACUUUGUGAUACACUUUCAAAGAGUCGGAUUGUUUGGGAAUGCAGUCCAAAAUGGGUGGUAAAUUUCAUCUAAAGCUAAAUAUUGGCGAGAGACCGAUAGCGAACAGGUACCGUGAGGGAAAGAUGAAAAGAACUUUGAAAAGAGAGUUAAACAGUACGUGAAAUUGUCAAAAGGGAAGCGUUUGACACCAGUGUUGUUUUUCUGAAAAUCAAUUAAAGAACUGUUUAUGCUAAGUUGUUUAGACUUUAUCAGCUAUCUGUUUAGUUUUGAGCUUUUCUUUAAUGCACUCUUCAGUUAACAAGUCAACAUCAAUUUCUUUUGCUGUAAAAAAGCUUGAGGAAGGUGGCUUGAGAUUCGUCUUAAGUGUUUAUAGCCUCUUGCCUAUGCAGUCGGAGAGAUUGAGGUCUGCAGCGUAGAUCCUUCGGGGCUAAAUGCAUUUGUGCUAAGUUAUAGCAUUUUAUAGACAACUUGUUGACUAUGAUUUGUCUUGUAGCUUACUCGCUUAUGUUAUUUUACCUACGCUUAGGAUGUUGAAUCUGUGCGAGACUAC